GGCAAGUGUCCUUCUCAGGCCAUAUUAAUUUUGCUUUAAGAAGACAAAUCCUCAUAUGGACCAGACUCUGCAAUUGGCUGCAGGCACCUCCGAGGCCCAGGUCAAGCUUCCAUCAAAAGGGAAAAAGUCUCAGAAACACGAAAAGAUGUUCAUUUUUUUGUUUUUUAAUUGAGAUGGAGUUUCGCUCUUGUUACCCAGGCUGCAGUGCAAUGGCAGGAUCUCGGCUCACCACAACCUCCGCCUCCUGGGUUCAGUCAAUUCUCCUGCCUCAGCCUCCUGAGUAGCUGGGAUUACAGCCACCCAAGCAAUCUGGAAUCCCACACAAACGUGCCUUCUAGACAGGAAGUUUUUAUGAACAUUUUGGAGAAGACAACAAAAACAAGAACAAAAAUGAGAACGGCUGGCUGAGUCUGAAUCUCAAAAAUCUCAAGCUUCUCAUGCAUUUUGAGAACUUGUUAAACAAUAUGAAUAUUCUCCUUGAUGGAAUUUAAAAAGCAUGUGGUUCGAGUCAUCAUUGGGAAAACAUGACAAGGAUUGUGGAACACACAUGAAUUCCAACUUGCUGGGAACCCGCACAUUUUCCUUCAUUCUUUGAAGAAUUGCUAAAAUCAGCCAUCAAGAACAGUAAACACCAAUACUUUGCCUUGAGAGGAAUUGGGGGUUUGAGCUAAAAUAUCUAAAUGACUUGAAAUCUGUGAUUAAACACAGACUUGGUCUUAAGUUUCCUAAUCCUCGCUUUAUCAUCAACAUUCUGCAAUAACUUCUUCCUAAACUUCCCUGCCUCAGUUUACUAGUUUAGCUCUCUGUUACAAUAAUCUCCACAAAUAAUCAUUUUUGCUCAGUUGCUUUUCAUUCAUUUAUGGUUGUUCCAAUUUUAGACUUAACUGGAAUAAAUGAACAUAUGACUUUAAUUUAAACUACAUUUCCUUGUGCUUACCAACAAAAGUGAAUAAUACUAUGUAUCAUGUAUGUAUACAUUUAUUUAUUCUCAAUCACAAGCAUCUCACCAAUUUGAUGAGGGAGGUUAAGUAAAAUGAAAUAAAGUUAUUCUCACCCUUUUACUGUACCUAAACUCAAUGGUUCAACGAAAGUAAAAUGAAAAAGUGAUACUUUAGAUAGUAUUUUCUUCACUGAAAAGCCAGUUGUAGUAGCAUUUAAAAUAUAUAAAAGUAAAGGGAGUUUACAAUGUAUAAACAAUUGAUCAAAAGUUUCACAGUAUAAAUGAUUCUUGUUAUUAGCUGUAGUUACGUUUUAUAAAAUCAGCACAAACCCAGAAUCAGCAAAUACUGAGCCAUUUCUCCUAGGGGAAAGCCAGAGUUCACUUCCUUCAAGGUGUUGGUCACAACAUUUUCAUCAGCUGAUCAACAGCAGACUUGUUUUCUGUGUGUUUCUGUUUAAAGAGGCCGUGUUUAAUAUGUAUGGUUAUUCAUCAACACUGAAAGCCAGUGGUAUUAUAACCGGCGCCUGAAUGAAGGUUCUCCAACAGGUAUGUUUUCUGUCUCAGACACAUCACAGCCUUCUUGUAUUUAGACACAUUAGAUAACACUUUUGCAGUAGCUUGGGAGCCUUUUUAAAUAGCAAGAUCACCAACAAAAAUCAUAAAAGUGGACAGUGUGCACCUAAAUGGACCAAAAAUGAGAACGCUUGUUUACAUAAUGAGAGCUGAAACAAGAAGGCAAAAUGUCCCCUGGUUCAACCUCAGCUGGUGACUCAAACUUUGACCACUGUGCACAUGUCCGUGAAUGACCUUGAAAUCACCAUGACUAUUGACUUGGAGGUUACAGAUACGUUUUAACCAGUAGGCAAGUUUGCAGAUGCAGUCUGUGAAUAAUAAAGAUCGAUUGCACUUCUGAAAGGAUUAUUGAAAGCAUUUCUCUCCUGUACUAAAAUAUUAUUUUGCCAAUACCAAUACUGUCACUUCUGAAUAUUGUCUUUCUUCCUUAUGUAACUUUCUCUUUUUAGAAAAAUCCUUCAAAAUUUCUGAAUGUUUUUUCUUGGCUAAUACUCUUUAUGCUCACCCUGUAAUUCACAAAGGAUCACAUUUGUUGCUGUCAUUAAUACAUAUCUUAGGUGACAGAAAAGAAGCUGUACCAGACGCUGUCUGGAUCCUGCCCACCUUCACCCAACCCACCCUGAAUAGAACUUGCAGACAUGCCUGAAACUUUCUUUGUUUUUUUGGCCUGAAAACAUUCUCUUUCAGAAGAAUAUGCUAGACACCCCAGAACAGAUGAGAAGGGGGACCAACUUAAUGCAUCAAGAGUAAUUGAGUACCCCAGUUCAUACUCCGCAGUGGGAAAGUUCCUAAGCAGGUUCCAUGUAGUCUCCCAGGAGGCCCAGUAGGAUUGCACCUUGUUGCCCACAACAGGCACCUGCUCAGUCAUGCCUCACUAAUGACUAACACCUUUCCUGCCUCAACACCCCACUCUAUGCAUUGCCUCUCACAUGCAAUCCUUUUAUUCAAAUCAUUGAAUCAAGUUAUGCCUUUUUUUAAAAAAAACUUUAAGUUCCAGGAUACAUGUGCAGAAAUGUACAUAUAUCCUUGAACUUAAAGUAAAAUAAACGUGCAGAUUUGUUACAGAGAUAUACAGGUGCCAUGACCAAUCAACCCAUCAUCUAGAUUUUAAGCCCUGUAUGCAUUAGGUAUUUGUCCUAAUCUCUCCCUCCCCUUGUCUGGUCCUCUCCCUGUGUCCAUGUGUUCUCCUUGUUCAACUCUCACUUACAAGUGAGAACAGGCAGGGGUUGGUUUUCUCUUCCUAUGUUAGUUUACUGAGAAUGAUGGCUUCCAGCUUCAUACAUGUCCCUGCAAAAGACAUGGUCUCAUUCUUUCUUCUGGCUAAGAUGGAUAAAGACUUAAAUGUAAAACCCAAAACCAUAAAAACCCUAGAAGAAAACCUACAAAAUGCCAUUUAGUACAUAGGCAUGGGCAAAGACUUCAUGACUAAAACACCAAAAGCAAUGGCAACAAAAGCCAAAAUUGGCAAAUGGGAUCUAACUAAACUAAAGAGCUUCUGCACAGCAAAAGAAACUAGCAUCAGAGUGAACAGACAACCUACAAAAUGAAAGAAAAAUUUUGCAAUCUACGUAUCUGACAAAGGUCUAAUAUCCAGAAUCUACAGGAAAAAAACCAACAGCCUCAUCCAAAACAGACAAAGGAUAUGAACAGACACUUCUCAAGUUCUGCUUUUAUGGUAACUCAAACUAAAGUAGAAACUAUUUUCUCUGGGAAUCCUACUGCAACAACUUGCAUUUCUAGAGACUUGUUUGAGCUUCCAGCUUAGAGACAUAAUAGGGUGGACUGAAAAGGAGUCCUACUGGUUCUGCUAUUGCCUAAUUCUUGGUUCCUUAGGGAUGUUAGAACAAAUUACUGCAACUGGGUUGCUUAAAACAAUGAAUAUUUAUUCUUUCACAGUUCUGAAGGCCAGAGGUCUGAAAUUCAGGUGACAGUAGAGCUGUGCUCUCUCUGAAGGCUCUGAGAGAGAUUCUGUUCUUAGCCUCUGGUGUGGCCAGCAUGCCUCGGCAUUCCUGGGCUUGUGGGUGCAUCACUCUAAUUCCGUCUCUGACAUUACAUGGUGCUCUUUCUGUGUGUCAGUGCCCUCGGAGCUCAAUGCCUUUUUGCCUCCACUUAUAAAGACAACAGUCAUUGGAUUAGAACCCACCCAAUGACCUCAUUUUUCCUCAAUAACAAAUUCAAAGACUAUUUUCUAAUAAUGUUACAUAUACAGGGAGUUAGGACUGGCACAUCUCAUUUCGGGGAUGGGAUUCAACCAAAAAUCAUGCCUUAUGUCCUUGUCUACAAAAUGUACAUUUUUGACAAAGAAGAUGAUCUCUGAGGCCCAUUUUAGCUCUGUGAUUCUAUAAUUCGGACCUUAAAGAUGUGUGUUACUUUCACUGCUGUUUUUAUUUUCUUACUCUUAUCUUCCCAUCAUCUCCACGGAAUAAAUCCAAUUAUGAUUUCACUGAAAGGAAAUACACAUGGCACUGCAUAUUGAAACAGAGAAAAUAAACAUGAAUGAAACUGAUGUCUCUUAAAAUAAUUAUAUUUUCAACCCUAAGCAUUUAACUUUCUAAUCCACAGCAACAUACUCAUUUAACAUCUAUAAAGUAUUUUUAAAACCACUGGGUUAAAGUAAUAAUUACCAAUGACAUGAUUUUCCUGGAGGACAAUCAUGUUGCUGAAGAGACAUUUCUCAGGUACAGUCAAAUAAAAUGUUAAUGUAGGAUUUUAUCUGUUCAAGGUUUCCUGUGGGUUUGCAAAGUUCAGGGUGCCUUUCACACAGUUUGAUUUGUGUUCCCUACAAGGGAACGUGUAUGGAUGGGGCUGAUGCUAUUUCAUUUUAUUUAUUUUUAUUUCUUAUUUUUGAGACAGAGUUUCACUCUUGUUGCCCAGGCUGGAGUGCAAUGGCAUGACCCCAGCUCACUGCAACCUCCGACUCCCGGGUUCAAGCGAUUCUCCUACCUCAGCUUCCCAAGCAGCUGGGAUUACAGGCAUGUGUCACCACGCCUGGCUAAUUUUGUAUUUUUAGUAGAGACUGGAUUUCUCCAUGUUGGUCAGGGUGGUCUGGAACUCCUGACCUCAGGUGAUUCACCUGCCUCAGCAUCCCAAAGUAUUGGGAUUACAGGCGUGUGCCACUGCGCCCACCUUAUUUUUCUGCAAGCUAUAAUGUGUUCUGUAUGAUUACAAUACUGUGGACUGGAAGUGAA